CAGAUGAGAAGCUUGCUUCUCUGAUGUUAGCGGCGGACGGGUGAGUAACACGUGGGUAACCUACCUAUAAGACUGGGAUAACUCCGGGAAACCGGGGCUAAUACCGGAUAAUAUUUUGAACCGCAUGGUUCAAUAGUGAAAGACGGUUUCGGCUGUCACUUAUAGAUGGACCCGCGCCGUAUUAGCUAGUUGGUAAGGUAACGGCUUACCAAGGCGACGAUACGUAGCCGACCUGAGAGGGUGAUCGGCCACACUGGAACUGAGACACGGUCCAGACUCCUACGGGAGGCAGCAGUAGGGAAUCUUCCGCAAUGGGCGAAAGCCUGACGGAGCAACGCCGCGUGAGUGAUGAAGGUCUUCGGAUCGUAAAACUCUGUUGUUAGGGAAGAACAAAUUUGUUAGUAACUGAACAAGUCUUGACGGUACCUAACCAGAAAGCCACGGCUAACUACGUGCCAGCAGCCGCGGUAAUACGUAGGUGGCAAGCGUUAUCCGGAAUUAUUGGGCGUAAAGCGCGCGUAGGCGGUUUCUUAAGUCUGAUGUGAAAGCCCACGGCUCAACCGUGGAGGGUCAUUGGAAACUGGGAAACUUGAGUGCAGAAGAGGAGAGUGGAAUUCCAUGUGUAGCGGUGAAAUGCGCAGAGAUAUGGAGGAACACCAGUGGCGAAAGGCGGCUCUCUGGUCUGUAACUGACGCUGAUGUGCGAAAGCGUGGGGAUCAACCAGGAUUAGAUACCCUGGUAGUCCACGCCGUAACGAUGAGUGCUAAGUGUUAGGGGGGUUUCCGCCCCUUAGUGCUGCAGCUAACGCAUUUAAGCACCUCCCGCCUGGGGGAGUACGACCGCAAGUUGAAACCUCAAGGAAAUGACCGGGGAACUC
rnacentral:rRNA from 1 species